UACGUAGGGGGCUAGCGUUGUCCGGAAUCAUUGGGCGUAAAGAGCGUGUAGGCGGUCCGGUAAGUCCGCUGUGAAAGUCGGGGGCUCAACCCUCGAAUGCCGGUGGAUACUGUCGGGCUAGAGUGCGGAAGAGGCGAGUGGAAUUCCUGGUGUAGCGGUGAAAUGCGCAGAUAUCAGGAGGAACACCUAUUGCGAAGGCAGCACUCUGGGACGGUACUGACGCUGAGACGCGAAAGCGUGGGGAGCGAACAGG
rnacentral:rRNA from 1 species